GGGGAAUAUUGCACAAUGGGCGCAAGCCUGAUGCAGCCAUGCCGCGUGUAUGAAGAAGGCCUUCGGGUUGUAAAGUACUUUCAGCGAGGAGGAAGGCAUUAAGGUUAAUAACCUUAGUGAUUGACGUUACUCGCAGAAGAAGCACCGGCUAACUCCGUGCCAGCAGCCGCGGUAAUACGGAGGGUGCAAGCGUUAAUCGGAAUUACUGGGCGUAAAGCGCACGCAGGCGGUCUGUCAAGUCGGAUGUGAAAUCCCCGGGCUCAACCUGGGAACUGCAUCCGAAACUGGCAGGCUAGAGUCUUGUAGAGGGGGGUAGAAUUCCAGGUGUAGCGGUGAAAUGCGUAGAGAUCUGGAGGAAUACCGGUGGCGAAGGCGGCCCCCUGGACAAAGACUGACGCUCAGGUGCGAAAGCGUGGGGAGCAAAC
rnacentral:rRNA from 1 species